AUGAUGUGGUUAAUUCGAUGCAACGCGAAAACCUUACCCACCUUGACAUGUACGGAACCCUUUAGAGAUAGAGGGUGCUCGAAAGAGAGCCGUAACACAGGUGCUGCAUGGCUGUCGUCAGCUCGUGUCGUGAGAUGUUGGGUUAAGUCCCGCAACGAGCGCAACCCUUGUCAUUAGUUGCUACAUUCAGUUGGGCACUCUAAUGAGACUGCCGGUGACAAGCCGGAGGAAGGUGGGGAUGACGUCAAGUCCUCAUGGCCCUUAUAGGUGGGGCUACACACGUCAUACAAUGGCUGGUACAAAGGGUUGCCAACCCGCGAGGGGGAGCCAAUCCCAUAAAGCCAGUCGUAGUCCGGAUCGUAGUCUGCAACUCGACUACGUGAAGUCGGAAUCGCUAGUAAUCGUGGAUCAGAAUGUCACGGUGAAUACGUUCCCGGGUCUU
rnacentral:rRNA from 1 species